rnacentral:rRNA from 1 species
UAACGCGUGGGUAACCUGCCCCAUACCGGGGGAUACCACCUGGAAACAGGUGCUAAUACCGCAUAAGCGCACGGGAGCGCAUGCUCCUGUGUGAAAAACUCCGGUGGUAUGGGAUGGACCCGCGUCUGAUUAGCCAGUUGGCAGGGUAACGGCCUACCAAAGCGACGAUCAGUAGCCGGCCUGAGAGGGUGGACGGCCACAUUGGGACUGAGACACGGCCCAAACUCCUACGGGAGGCAGCAGUGGGGAAUAUUGCACAAUGGGGGAAACCCUGAUGCAGCGACGCCGCGUGAGUGAAGAAGUAUUUCGGUAUGUAAAGCUCUNUCAGNAGGAACGAGACAAGACGGUACCUGACUAAGAAGCCCCGGCUAACUACGUGCCAGCAGCCGCGGUAAUACGUAGGGGGCAAGCGUUAUCCGGAAUCACUGGGUGUAAAGGGAGCGUAGACGGCUGAGCAAGCCUGAAGUGAAAGGCGGGGGCCCAACCCCCGGACUGCUUUGGGAACUGUACGGCUGGAGUGCAGGAGAGGUAAGUGGAAUUCCUAGUGUAGCGGUGAAAUGCGUAGAUAUUAGGAGGAACACCAGUGGCGAAGGCGGCUUACUGGACUGUAACUGACGUUGAGGCUCGAAAGCGUGGGGAGCAAACAGGAUUAGAUACCCUGGUAGUCCACGCCGUAAACGAUGAUUACUAGGUGU